rnacentral:rRNA from 1 species
GAUGAACGCUAGCGGCAGGCCUAAUACAUGCAAGUCGAACGGCCCCGACACUUCGGUGUCGGGGUAGUGGCGCACGGGUGCGUAACGCGUACACAACAUACCCUUUACAGGGGGAUAGCGGCGGGAAACUGCCAGUAAUACCCCAUGUCCUUGCGAGGUGGCAUCAUUUUGCAAAGAAAGUUCAAGCGGUAAAGGAUUGGUGUGCGUCCGAUUAGCUAGUUGGUGAGGUAACGGCUCACCAAGGCCACGAUGUCUAGGGGAUCUGAGAGGAUUAACCCCCCACACUGGUACUGAGACAGGGACCAGACUCCUACGGGAGGCAGCAGUAAGGAAUAUUGGACAAUGGUGGCAACACUGAUCCAGCCAUGCCGCGUGAAGGAUGAAGGCCCUAUGGGUUGUAAACUUCUUUUGUACGGGAAAAAACCUUCUUACGUGUAAGAAGCUGAUUGUACUGUAAGAAUAAGGAUCGGCUAACUCCGUG